rnacentral:SRP_RNA from 1 species
UGGUGGUUUAAAUAGACAGCACAUCAAGUGUUUAUUGAACUUGAAAAGCACCGGCUCGUUAUCCUUCCACUGCACAAAGCGGGGACUAUUCGUUGCUCUGUGAAACCAACCUCACGCAGUCCAUCCCACUCUAAAGGCCAAGUGGCCUAUACUUUCGUAUAGACCACUUGACCCAACUCUGUGCUUGGACAGGGCAGGCCAGAACAUUAGCCCUUCAAGCCCAUCCAUCAAGAUGGACCCAACAUUCCACCACAUUGUUGCCCCCACUCGGGUUACAAGCCCACUUCCGUUGUUU